GUUGGAUGCGAGCGUGAUACGAUCCUGGCACGCUACUAUUUUCGUCCCUUCUACAUACACGUUCCCGUGUGUGGAUCUCGCUCCCUUUCCCGUGGACCCCUUCUGCCUCCUGACUUCCACCCCCGCAGCUUAUGCCCGCCGACACGAAUCAUCGAUGGAAUCGUCAAGUUGGAAGGGAUACGCGAAUUUUGAAUAACUUGAUUAGGAGCUUCGUCUGCCGCAGCGAAUGAUACUUCUUCGUUCAUGUUUUGACUGCUUUUAUUUAUUAAAGAUAGCUUCUCUCUUCCGUCUCUUCAUGGUGAAUGGUGGUUUUGGUCGGAGAACGUGUUCAUUGGAUCGAGAUUGAGUCGAUACAGUUGAAUAAAAAUAUUAGGAAAUUUGCUUAUAUCGAUAUGUGUUUGGUGAAUAUGGAGUGGAAUACUCUGGCUGUCUGAACGAUUCAGGGGAACAAUCUACUUCGCUGAAUCGGUUGUAAUAACGUCAGCUGUAAGUUGUCCGAACAGAAUUUUCAUAUGAAAAGAAACGUAAAUUUUAUUAACUAUGCAUAUCGAAUACAGGUCAGAACAAAAAUUUGUACGAUUUUCAAUGAAAAUUUUCUGUUAAUGCGUGCAAAUAUCAAAUAUAGUAGAUUACUUCAUAGUUGCAAUAAAUCUUACACAGUUUUUAUUUCAAUCGCUUAUUUAUAGAAUAAAAUGUUUCAUAAAGUAACAUUUCGUACAUCGCCACGUUAUAAAAUUUCUAUGGUCGUACUAAAGGAGGUACCUUCGGAUGAUAACAAAGUUAAUAAGAGAGAGCUUUCUCCUAAUGAAGUACUAUACAGAUAUCAAAAUAAAUACGAUGUUCAAAUACUUUUUUAUCUUCAUCCAGUGAGUAAGUAACUUCGACUCUUAAUAAUAAAUUGUACGACAUUUAAUUCAAAUUCUAAGGACUUGCUGCGAUUAAAACUUAACUUUCUAACUAAUUCUGAAACAAUUAUCAAAUUAUUACCUACAGCGGCUACAGCUAAUAUUGAGCGAUUACCUACUGUAACUAGCCCUGAAAUAUCUACUAAUAAAUUUAAUAAGCAACCAAUUUAAACUUAAUUAAAUUUAAUAACUUAUUCAAUAACCAGUAUCUGUCACUGCUAAUUCUACCUAAUUUCCUAACCAGUCUCAAGACGAACCUACUCAUCUUGGACAAGUCCAUAUACGUAUUCUUCUGUCCGUUAAAAAUCCCAAGUUUACGAAUGCACAUUCCAAUACCUGGCUCGAUGGCGUAACACUUUUAAUCCGCAAAUGCUGAUCGUAGGGCGCUUAAUUCUAAGUAUUUAAAGAUAGCAAUUUAUUCAAACGUUAUGUGCCAACCACUCGCAAACCUUUUCGCGUUUCCACUUUACCUUCAUUUCCGUUCGCCGGUUAGCUUAAAGAAAAGAAAGAAAAUGGGAAGGGGCAGUACUUUUAAUGGCAGAACGAGAAAUCUUGAGUUCGUAAUUGUGCUCACGUCUGACCAAGAGCAAGGGAGAAGGAAAGGAAAGAAUAAAAGCCGGAAACUGCGGCGAAUUAAAAAACGCUUCACGGGAACGUUAUUCGACGAAACUGUUUAUCGCGUACGAUAAAAGCCGUAGCUUUUAUCUCAGUGCUUUCAUUUUUCGAAAUACGUUCUUAAGAGGGUGGCCCGUCUGUGCAUAAAUUUUUAACCAAAGCUCGGAGUAUUACAGAACAUCAAUUCGCUGAACAAACAUGAAAAAGACAUUAGAAGUAAAUUUAUCCGUGUUUCUUUUGGAGCAUUAUCCGUGCAUAUGCUAGAACGAUUAUAGAAAUACAGGAUAAAUUUUUCCCCGAGUGAGUUAUUUCUGACGCUGAUAUAGCUACAUUAUAUCUGUCCCGUAUCGUGUUCAACCUCGCCACCGCACCGGUCGAAAGUUUACUGUCCACUGGUCUACGGCACAUUACUAAAUAUAUUUACCCUGCAGCAAUAACAACAUGAAAAUGAUGGUUCCUUUACUAAAAGCCAUCCGACGCACUUUGUGCGCCUGAAAUUAAUGUAAUCAUUAUUAUAGUCGCGAUACAAAUGUUUGCGUAGAACGUAAUUUAUUCACUGUUAACGAGAAGAUUAAUGAAACAAUAUCUAUUAACGUUCUGUCGUUGAAUAUUUUGCUUGUAAUGUUGAAACAACGAUUAUUCGUGCUUUAUCGUUCAAUAUUUUGCUUAUAACGUUGAAACAAUUCGUAUUAAUAUUUUAUUUAUGAUAUCUUAUCAAUAACAAUGGGGAAUUUUCGCCAUGUUUCUCAAAGGAUAUUUAAUAAAAGUAUUUAUUAAAAAUUUAUCUCUUGUCGAAGAGUUAAUAAAAAUAUUUAUGUCGGAUAAAAUAAAAUUUUUCUCUCUCGUUCGAAGGAUAUCGUGGGAUUUAAGAACAUAAAAUGAAAGUUUCAAAGUCAUAAAGAAUGUAUUAAGCAGAUGGAAGGUUCAAAUAUCCAAGGGAAAAAUGCGACAAUGUGCAAACGCAACGAACGAACGAGUAAAAAUAUGAAUAUAGCUUUUAAAGUUAUGUGCAAAGGAUUAUUAUGAUGUUCUAUACGUCAUUUAGUUAUUACACGAUAACUGAAAAUAUGUUCAAAAAAUUCAUCUUAUUUAAAUCUCUAUGAUGUUAUUAUCGUACGAAGAAACUUAUAUCUAUACUACUGACAUAUGUUCUAACAAACUCUACAAUUAUUAUAGUUUACAGUAAAGAUCUAUAAAUCUAUAUAUAUAUAUUCUUAUGAUGUAUACUAAAGAAAAUGAGAAAAUUAAGGUGUUAAAAAAAUCACUAUUUUAAUUCCAAUAAUGAUAAUGAGAUAUUAAUCGCAUGACAGAACAAAUUUUACUUUUACAAGAAUCUACAUAUUGAUCCUAACAGAAAAGAUUUAUAAAUUCUUACAUUAUAAAAAAUCUUAAAGAAUCUUUGUUGCAUAAACUAUUAAUCGUGCAUAUAGAAAAGUUACAAGUAUAACAAAUUCACUUUUUACUACUUCAAUAUCUUUCCUAAUAUUCUACUUGUAUGUAUUACAAUACGUUAUACGUGUAUUACACAUUUCUAUUUUAUGAAACGUUAAUUAUUCACAUAGAAGAGCCACAAGUAUAGUCAAAUCAUCAUUAGAAUAGAUUAUACUUCAUGGACAAGUGAUCUGCUUCAACUCACCAAUCUCUUCCUAAUACUUUACACUUGUAUUCUACACACAUAAAGGCUCAUAAUAAAGUUGACUCUUAGUAGUUUGAUAAUAAGAAUUCGAAAGAAUCAGAAAAAGAACUCGAAACUCAAACUCUAAAGAGAGUAAAGUGUGCGACAUCUAGUAUCUAACGGCUACAAAAUGUAGCGAAGACCGUGUAUACGAGCUGCCACCUCCGGCAGCUGUGUCCGUGAAUAAAAAAAGCACUGGGGGCAGAACAGCGUUUAUGUUGUGAAAACGGGAGCAGCGUCCGAGUCCGAACCGACGAAAUAGGAGCCGCGAUAAACGAAUGUGGGUUGCCCCUCUGAGACCUUGGCGAAGGUGGAUGAGGCAGAGAGAGACGAGUCGAGGAAGGAGGCUACCUUAUCAGAGGCAGCCUGGAGGCUGAGACUUCGUUCGCGUAGCCGAUGUCGAACCACGAGGCGGCUCCAUAUAUGGAGGGGGCCGUGCUAGGGAGAGGGUGUCGCCGACGCUCGAGUAUAAAGUUCCACGACGCUGACGACCUCGCUUCACACCACGCCAGAAAAUUCGACUCUCUUGGCGUUGCUCGCUCUCCCAAUGAUCGCUGAUUAAUUGGUCAUGCGACGCCUGUUAAUCUUUCAUACACCUACUCAAUUGGAGGAAUUUAACAUCUUCAUAGAUUUUAACGCGUGAUUCCGAGCAUAGGAUGGGAAUAUAAAUCUUGAAGAUAGAAAGAAGAACAAGAAAGCUUUCUACAUAUACUAGAAAGUAGUUUUGGUUGAUUCAACGAAAGUUGUAUGGUAUUCAUUAUAGUGAAGUUGAUCUGAUUUAACAUACGUAAUUGGACCAUCUUAAGAUUUUAGUGCGAGAUUACAAAUAUACAGAGUGAGAGUACGUAUAAAUGUUCGGGAUACAAUCGAAAACAAUAGUUUGAACAAUAUUCUUCUAUCUUUGUGCAAGAAAGAAUUUUAUACGGUAUAAAAGGAGAACAGUUUUAGUUGAUUCAACGAAUGUCCUAUUAUAAAAUGAAUUUGAUAUAAUUUAACAAGAUUAAAGUCGCUAUGGUUUAAAUACCUUCGCAAUUAACGAGCUAGGCAUCAUUAUUAGUUUUGGAUUAUAUAUCUUCCGAUAAAACGAAUUGAAUAAUUAACUGAAUUCCGUUGAUUUUACCUGGAUUAAAAUAAUUCGGUGUUAAUUAGUUCUAACAGCGACAUAAAAUUGAGCUGUGGCGUUGUAUGAUGAGUAGAGCGACGGUAAUUUUUAGAAUUGGAGAAUUAGAAAAUUCUUUAUUGUGGAUAAAUCAAAAUUGUUUUAGGACAUUCGUGCUUUAUUUUGGAAAGAGUGCUAUUCUCUCUAGAACAUGUUUUGUAAUUUUUGAGAGCGAAGACAACGUGAUUUACAGUGAUAGUUUUGGCAUCGGUUACAAUUUAUGGAA